AACAAAACAAGAAAUGAUUGUAACAGGAUGCUGUUACGAAGUCUCCCAAACGAAGCUCCCAUAAUUCGUAAUUCCCAGGGUCGCCUGACAUUGGGCAAAGUCCAGUGAAAAUUGGUUAGGUCCAGUAAAGUUAUAUGCAUUAGUGAUGCCUAGGGACUAACCCUGAAUAUCAUUCAAAUCAUCUUGGCAUGACAAACCAGAAUAUAUAUGGUUAAGGGUUGGGGAUCUCGACCAUUUACAAGAUAUUAGAACUUUCUCAAAUGGCAGGGGAUCGGGAUGACCCCUGGGGAUUAACCCUGUAUAUCAUUCAAACCAUCUUAGCAUGACAAACCAUAAUAUAUAUGGUUUAGGGGUGGGGAUCUCGACCACUUACAAGAUAUUAGAACUUUCUUAAAUGGCAUGGGGUGGGGGUGACCCCUGGGGACUAACCCUGUAUUUCAUUUCAUGUGUUUUAUCAUGACAAACCAGAAUAUAUAUGGUUUAGGGGUGGGGAUCUCGACCAUUUACAAGAUAUUAGAACUUUCUCAAAUGGCAGGGGGUCGGGAUGACCCCUGGGGACUAACCCUGUAUAUCAUUCAAACCAUCUUAGCAUGACAAACCAUAAUAUAUAUGGUUUAGGGGUGGGGAUCGUGACCACUUACAAGAUAUUAGAACUUUCUUAAAUGGCAUGGGGUGGGGGUGACCCCUGGGGACUAACCCUGUAUUUCAUUUGAUGUGCUUUAUCAUGACAAACCAGAAUAUAUAUGGUUUAGGGGUGGGGAUCUCGACCAUUUACAAGAUAUUAGAACUUUCUCAAAUGGCAGGGGGUUGUGAUGACCCCUGGGGACUAACCCUGUAUAUCAUUCAAACCAUCUUAGCAUGACAAACCAGAAUAUAUAUGGUUUAGGGGUAGGGAUCUCGACCAUUUACAAGAUAUUAGAACUUUCUCAAAUGGCAGGGGGUUGGGAUGACCCAUGGGGACUAACCCUGUAUAUCAUUCAAACCAUCUUAGCAUGACAAACCAGAAUAUAUAUGGUUUAGGGGUGGGGAUCUUGACCAUUUACAAGAUAAUAGAACUUUCUCAAAUGGCAGGGGGUCGGGAUGACCCCUGGGGACUAACCCUGUAUAUCAUUCAAACCAUCUUAGCAUGACAAACCAGAAUAUAUAUGGUUUAGGGGUGGGGAUCUCGACCAUUUACAAGAUAUUAGAACUUUCUCAAAUGGCAGGGGGUCGGGAUGACCCCUGGGGACUAACCCUGUAUAUCAUUCAAACCAUCUUAGCAUGACAAACCAGAAUAUAUAUGGUUUAGGGGUGGGGAUCUUGACCACUUACAAGGUAUUAGAACUUUCUUAAAUGGCAGGGGGUGGGGGUGACCCCUGGGGACUAACCCUGUAUUUCAUUUAAUGGGUUUUAUCAUUUAGAACAUUUUCAAUUAAAAAGAUUGUGUCUAUCACAAACGGUUUUCAAUUUAUAAUCAUUUGAAAAUUUUAAAAAAUAAAAUCCCAUAGGGUUCUAUAGUAAAACCCUCUUUUCUUUUUGCCCCUCAAAGUACCCCUUUAUAAACCCCAUUGCACAAACAAAACCCUGAUUGCACCACUAGACAUGUUAGUCUAACAUAUUGUGAAAUCCUAAGUUAAUCUGACAAGCGGUUUUGGAGAACGGGUGCGGACAAGUUCAAAUUUAAAAGCGGCGGAAGAGGAAGAGGAAGAAGAAUAAUAAUAAUAAUAAGAACUGAGUAAAAACAAUAAGUCUUCCCAAACUUCGUUUGGGAGACUUAAAUA